UUUUUUUUUUUUUUUUUUUGUCAAACUUCAACUGCUUUAUAUAAGUGUACAAACGGUAUUGAAAAGUCGAUUAUUGUGUGGUACACGUUGUCAUUGUGGGGUCCUGAGCUGCCGAAAGGUGGGCCGCCACAAUGCUGCUCGGUCGUGAGAGUAUAUGCUGCAGGGUGAAUGGACGAAGGUAGGAAGCAGGUAUCCAAAACUCUUUUGAGUUUAUAAUAUUACGAUUGAACAAAUUUACUAAAUUAGUAUAUUUAACAGUAGGAGGCCUAUAUUGUCUCUUUAUGUGGAUCUCUCGCUUGUAAUUCUCCUCUUUGUCGCUUACAAAUUGUCUGAUGCCCUUAUCAUCAUAUUUCCCGACUCAUUCUUUUCUCCCACUUACUUCUUUGCUCUUUCUUCUUCUAUUAGUUGUCAUGUCGAUUCACCCAUGAACGGCAAAUUAACUUAUUUUAGAAGUGUUUAGUACCCUAGACUGCAGUCAAUGCUGUGUAGAAUUAUAUACAUGUAAAUUUGCAUUGAGUUUAACGAGUCAUGAGUUUCAUUUUCAUCUGACUAAGUAGCUAUAAAGUUGUGUAAUAGAUUACAUGUUACGUAUCUGUAGUGAACGACUGAUGCUUUGAGCUGCUAAAUAGGACAAAUAGAGCAAUUCCUAAACGUCCAUUCUUGAAGAAUUAAGAAUGGAUGUGUCAUUGUUCAACAGAAUUUUUAAGGCAUUUGAUUAACAAUUCUUCGACCAUGGUCUCUUUGAUCGAGUUUGAUGAGGAAUUUCUCCUUGUUUUUGUCUCCUAGCUUGCUUACACUUUCCAAGAACCAUAUAACAUCAGUAAUGUUUCCCUCUUCUCCAAAACCUGCAACAGAAUCUCUCGCCUGCGGACCCGAAAAAGUGAGAUUAGUUUGUUUGUUGCAAUCAACAUGUCCAAGUAUGUAGUCCAGGAUUUUGAAGAAGAAGAUGAGCAGCUUCCAGGAACUGUAAUUACACAAUCAUCAAAUGAUAGUCCUAAUCCUUUGGAUAAUGGCGCUGAUCAGCCCACUCAAAACAUUGCAACAACUUCUAAGAAGAAAAGAAAUCUUCCAGGGAAUCCAGGCAAUGCAACAAUACUAAUUAUAACUCUACUUGAUUGAUCAUCUCAUUUUUAAUCUGUUUUUCUUUUGCCUAAAAAUUGAACCAACAUAACUAAUUAGUUAAUCAAAUUAAAAACAAAGUAGACUAAUCAUGAUUGUGUCUUGCUUAAUGUUGAUUGUGUUUUCUGUUUAUUUGCAGAUCCGGAUGCAGAGGUUGUGGCCUUGUCACCCAGGACUCUUAUGGCGACGAACAGGUACAUUUGUGAAGUGUGCCACAAAGGAUUCCAGAGGGAUCAGAAUCUGCAACUGCACAGGAGAGGCCAUAACCUGCCCUGGAAGCUUAAGCAAAGGCCAACGACACAAGUGAAGAAGAGGGUAUAUGUCUGCCCAGAACCGAGCUGUGUUCAUCAUGACCCAAGCCGGGCUCUAGGGGACUUAACUGGGAUCAAGAAGCAUUUCUGCAGGAAGCAUGGAGAGAAGAAAUGGAAAUGUGACAAGUGCUCCAAGCGGUAUGCUGUGCAGUCCGACUGGAAGGCCCACACCAAGAUCUGUGGAACUCGCGAGUACCGCUGUGAUUGUGGAACCAUCUUCUCAAGGUGAAAUACUCAUGAAACUUCUUGUUGAUGUAAUGCAUAUGAAUACUUAGGGUCUAUCCUCAACUGAUUCUGAUUUUUGUAAUAGCUGAUUUUAGAAGCCAAAAUCAGAAUCCAAGAAACAGGUGUCUUUGUUGGUUCUGAUUUUGGCUUGUUUUAGCUUUCAAGAUAAAGAAAAAUCUAAAAGACGUAACAAAAAGCAAUUGACGAUAUCACGUAACUGAUUUUCUAAAAUUAGAAGCUAAAAGCAGAUUCAGAAAAUAAGUUGAGAAAAAGCCCUCAAUAAUCAGGCCUGCAUUCCACUUGAAGAGGUUUUCUUAGAUUCUUUCUUUUGCAGAAAGGAUACUUUCGUGACUCACAGAGCCUUCUGUGAUGCUUUGAUCGAAGAGAACAACAAAAUGAACCAGACCCUCGCUGCAGCCACGGGAGGAAUGUUACAACACCAAGCACAAGAAUUGUUUCCUUCUCCAUUGCCAGUGCCUGACCCCACUAACCCCAUGAUGAAUCUGUCCAUUUCUCACGCUAACAUGGAUACUUCAGUACUAAAGCCUUUAUCCCUGAAUGCUCAGGGGCUCCUGGCGGUGUCAAGCAAUGUGGAUCCUAUUUUUAGCCCAAAUGGGGCGAACCCUCGCACAAGCUUCAGCACCUUAGGAGGUCACAAUGGCAAUUCUCAUCUACCAAUUGGAUCGGCUUUCAGCUCAGCAACAGCCUUGUUACAGAAGGCUGCAGAAAUGGGUGCAAAAAUCAGUGACAAUUCAAUGGCUCCAAUCCUCCUCAGAGGAUUUUCAGGGUAUUCUACGAGUAAUAUGAAUACUUCUAACUCAAUUCAGGAGGGUUCUAGUGCAGUGGGCGGGCAAACUUCCGGUGGAGUUCCCAAUAGUUUAUAUAUGCGAAAUUUAGAUGCUUACGGAAAGUCUACGGAGGCUGGAAUUCAGAGAAUUAACAGUUUCAGUUCUUCCCAAUCUGGUGGCCUAUAUGACCCCAAUACCCUUUUGAUGCAUUCGUCAAAUGGAACUUCUGGUAUCCUUUCGGAUAGAGAUCACGUCCUCAUGGGGGGAAGUGAGAGAUUGACUCUCGACUUCCUAGGGGUAGAGCCUGCCGCUGCGGCUGCUCAGUCAAGUUUUGCAAAGAAGAGAAGAUUGGAAGGUGAUGUCAUGGGUUUGGACUACUCCAAAGCGCAACAAAACCUGCAUCAUCUUCAUUCAGAUUGGUAAAUGAAGGCGAAGGUGAUUGCAGGAAAACACUGAUGAAAUUAUGCACUGCCACCAAUCCUCUCUGGCUCCAGCUCGCUGUCUCUUUCUCUGCUUUUACCAUCUGAUUUUUAAUCCUAGACUCAACACAAAAGUUUUUUUCCCCUUCCUUCGUUAUCAUUUAGUUCUCUACAGAAUUCAGUUUUCUCCGAGCCAUGUAUGCUUGUGAUUGAUUUCUGUAACCGGGCAGUUUUCUCUUGACACAAACAGAAGAAAGAGUCAAAAGGUAUAAAAAGCAAUGAGGCUUCGAGAAAUAUUUCUCAUUAAUUGUUGAAUCUCUUUGAUUUUGAUCUAGGACGAUGAGGGAAUUUGAUCACUUCAAAUAGAUAAGCACAUACGAAAUUUAUCGGAGCACAAAAGCUUUAACACAAAUUAAAAACGAUGCUGAGAGGUAACUGGCAGUGUUCCUUUCUGUUUUUUAAAUCUCAUCUCUCUCCUACUAGAAAAUAAAUGAUAAAAUACCAAAAACCUUCCUAUGAUUUGCCAAAUAUUCAAUUUAACUUUCUCUAAUUAGGAAACCUAUACUAUAACUCCCUGUAAUUUCGACUAAAUUGAAAAUUGGAUUGAAAGUAUCCAAUUUAACGAUUGUACAUAAAAUGUCAAUAUUGCCUCUACUAUACAUGAAAUACUUUCCAUUUAAUUUUCAAUUUGGUCGAAAUUGCAAGGAGUUAUAGUGUAGUUUUCAAACCAAAAGGAGUUAAAUUGAACAUUCGGCAAACUAUAGGAAGUCCAUUUAUACAGGAGCAAUAUUGACAUUUCAUAUAUAAUUGUUAGAUUGGAUGUUUUUUGUCCAAUUUUCAAUUUAGUUGAAAUCACAAUGAACUAUAGUGUAGGUUUUCAAACCAGAAAGGGUUAAAUUGGAUAUUUGACAAACCACAAGAAAUUUUUGGAUAUUUUACCCAAAAAUAAAAUACACAAUGAAGAUCGUAGAAACACUUUUCUCGCCAGGCAAAAGAUUAACAUAUUUGGCUAUUCAAAUUCGGAACCAAACUUGACCCCCUACAUCACCAGCUCAAAAGAGAAUGGUAUUAGAAAACCAAAUCUUAGACAGAGAUUGUGGCUAAAACCUUCUUCUGCAUAAAAUUCCUAUGUACUAAAGUCUUGUUUAUUCCUUCUUUUACAGGCACACAGCAAUUUCAUGCUUGCAAAUUGCAAUUCCUCACAACCUUUGCUGCUACAUUAUAACAGAUUAUGCUUCUCCAUCAACUAGGAAAUCAACACCAAGCAAACCUAAAGGUUUCCGUCAAACUUGAAAAUUAGUUCAUGUUAUGGUUGUAAGAGGACAGUUCCUGUUAAAUAAUGAUGCAGGUCUGCGGAAGGAAGUCGUUAAACUAGCAGCCUUUUGGGUUUAGUCUUUUACAUGCCAACUGGGUGCAAAGUGCUUCCAAUAUCAUAAGAAACUCUAGAUCAGGUCUGCAACUAUAGCCCCGGCAGGAAAAAACCAUCCGGCAAAUGACAGUUACGAUGAACAUGUACAGAUAAUAAGACAUGAAUGAGUGAGUAUAUAACUAUCCAACAAUUUGUAUGUCUUAUCAGGAUUAGUAUGCUACUUGAUAUUGAUUUAACACAUUAAAAACAGCAACUAUGAUACACUUUCUCAAACUAUUUGACAAUAAAUUCAAUAGGUUUAAUGAUUGAUAAAUAAAUCAAUUAUCAAACAAUUUAAUAUCCUUUACUGUUAAUAGCGUCUAAAUAAAUUGUACAUGCCCUUUUAGUUGUUUAGUUAAUAUUCCCAUAAUUAUAAAAGUAUAAAAAUUUUAAAAAUAAUUGUUCUAAUAGACAAUGGCUAGGAGUGCCAAAUGCACAGGGCAAAAGUGUAUGCAUGUGUGAGUGCACAUUACAUAAUCCCCCUAUGAUUAGUGUAAUUAAAAGCAAGGGCAAAUUACACUUUAUCCCCCUAUGAUUUAGUAUUUUUCUACAUAAUCCCCUAAUGGUUUUAAAAGCUAUAUAUAAUCCCUUCAUAAUUUGGAUUAAAGAGUCAAAGUGACAGAAAUGAUCAUUUGUAACGGAAUCACCUAAAAUGUCAAAAAUACCUUUAUAUAAAGUUGAAAAUUAUUUAUUAACUAAAGGGGGGUAUGUGUAUAUUUUAAAAAUUAUAUGGGGGUUAUAUGAUAAAGCAUUAAAUCAUAAGGAGGUUAUAUGGUAAAAAAAUCAUAGGGGUUAGUGUGUCAUGUAUUUAUAAGAUAAUUUCGACAUUUUUAAAGAUUCCGUUACGAAUGAUCAUUUCCGUCACUUUGACACUUUAAUCCAAAUUAUGAGAGGGUUAUAUAUAGUUUUUGAAACCAUAAGAGGAUUAUGUAAAAAAAUACUAAACCACAGAGAGUAAAAUAUAAUUUGCCCUAAAAGAAAAUUAGUGGCGGUUCAAUGUCUCCAAAUAUUAACGAUAAGGACGCAAAGUUGAAAAGGGUGAUAGGUUGAGGAUGCAAAGUACAAUUUGACCUGCUAAAUAACUAUGUGUAUCCCUCAGGUGCUUGGAAGGAUUAAUUUUAUUAACAUUAUUAACACUUAGACCAAAAUGUCACAAGUAUGAAAAAUCUCAAGGUAUAUUUUGUCCAAAAUUAGAUUCUAUUAUAAUGAAAAUGGUUCACAAGUUGAAGGAUGCAAAAUGAAAUUAGUCCUUCUACCUAAUGGAGUUUUAGGCUUUAGAAUCAAUGUCACUUGUGAAGGAGAGGCAAAUUAGUUCAGUCGUUCAUGGCAAACGGUUUCACCAAUGUGAUUUUACUCUUUUGGAGAGGACUGGCUUGGCCUUUAGCCAGAUUUUAUCACUUUGAAGACUUCCAAGGUUUGGAAUGCUUACGGAAUGAGUAAUCGUCCUAGAUUUGCAUUUACCAACGGGACGAACAGACACCUUUUUUUCCUUUAUAAUAAGUAAAAAGUUUUAAAUUCAAAAUUUUCUACGUACAAUUCCUCUCAUUUUAUCACUUGAUCCAAUCUUCCACCGGAACGAAUAGACCACUCAUGGAUGUGGUACUGGAUGAAUUUACUUGAGCAAUAUGAGAGACUAGGGAAUGAGUUGUGAAUAUGGCUUCUUUUAGAUGGCUUUUUCAGGGGAAUGUAAUGGAAAAAUGUAGUCCCUUUGGAUCGAAUAUCAUUGGGGAAAAAAAAUUUAGAAUAACAUUUGGUACUGUUUUCCUACUGGUGUGAUGAUGUAUUUGAAGUGAAAAAACGAUAAUUAAAAGGAUAAAAACACAUUUACGCUAGGAUACAAAAAUUCUAAAAGUCGAUUUUCCAACCAAAGAAAGGUAUUCUAGAAAAACAUAUUAAAAAAAAGGAAUCAUAAAUCGCUAAUCCCCCCCCCCCACCCCCCAAAAAAAAUUUCCGCUAAUCCCACUCAUAGACGUAUAGAUGAUCUUGCUGGUUCGGGCUUCUGCCUAAAUGCAUGCAAAUGUUCCCCUUGAGCGAUCUCCUAAAUUUCCAAAUAGACUAGAAUUCUUCAAGUUAGCCCCGAUAUUUUAAGGAAAGUAAUUAAAAUGACAACAGAUUUUAGAAGAUGAAGAAAAUUGUUGCAAAAUGUUCCUAGAGUGAGAAUUAUUUUCAGCAGUUAUAAAGUGGAAAGAAGCCAUUGCUAAUUUGUCAUGCGUUUCAAGUUCAAAUUAAACUAAAAAUAAUUCAUCGUAUGCCUCAAUUUGUUUUUUAGGCUAUUCAGUUACAUUUUUUUACUAGGUCAAUGUUUUUUAAAGAGUUCUAUUAUAAAUCGAAUAUGACUUGGUCUACUUACUAAAAAAGAAAUUCGAAAUCAUAGAUAUUUUAGAUUCAAAUUUCUCUUUUCCGUUUCUAUUUCUUAAAUCUCACUCCUCCCCUAUUGGGGUUGGGUUUGUCUCCGCUUUUUAAAUCUCACCUCUAUCCUGAUAGAGUUAAAAAAAAAAAAAAAAAGAGUUUUCAUUACAAAAACAAUUAAAUUAAAGGGUAGUAGGUGUAAUUUUUGAAACCUUAUAGGCAUUCAAUGAAAUUUUUGAAAACUUUAGGGAAGGUUUCUAAAAUCAUCCCCAUUUUCGAGGGUCAAAUUUGUGGGUUCAAUCGUCACAUACACAUAUCUUGGAGGGUUUUAUUAAAAUUUACCCGUUUUAAUUCUCAUGAUUUCUACUAAAUGGGUUUGAUAAACCCAUAAACCCCCAACGCCUCAGCAAGCCUCCCUGUGCCUGUUACAGGUUCCUUUCAGAUUGCCGUUUGAGGUACAUUUCGAGUUUGAGACUUUUUCCUGUUCGUUUCAUCUUGAUAUUAAACUUCUUAUCUUUUACUGAAGUAUUAAAUUCUGGUAUAACCCUUUUCAUGACAUUAGAGUUUGAAUUUAUUGGGGAACACAAACUCUUGACAUUUUCAGAGAAAAAUCCAGUCUUGUUUCUUAUUCAGGAGGGCAAAUAUCAUCGGUCUGGGAAAUAAUUACUUCAUUUUUCUUGUUUAUAUGCAAAUUCUUUGCUAUUAUUUUGUUCCUUCAUGCCGUUACUGGAAUAAUAAUGAAUUCUUGGCUUUUGCAGACUUGAAAGAUCCCCGUAUUCCCCUUAUAAAACAUAGAGGACAAAGAAAAAAUAAAAUUACCCACCGUUUCAAGUUAAAUUUAUCUUAUUAUUGGAUUAAAUGGUGCACGUUUUAUGCCCUUAAUGGUUAUUGCUGAUGUUGGGGUGCAUAAUUUUGAUAACCAGAUGGCCCUAAGAGGUGUGUGGCAGUUAAACAAGCUGAUUGUGAGCUAUAGUGACUGGGGUGGAAGUAGUAGAGGCCUCAGGUAUGCUUUUCUUAAUUGCUUUUGCAUUUCUUGCUUUUGUAUUUAGAACUUUUACCUGUACAAAUUUCUUUUAUGACUUGACUUGAUUACAUGUACGAUAUGAUUUUGUCGUUGAUUCAACCACAGGAAACUAACAGAAUAUACUCAAAAGGACAAAAAUUUGAUCUUUUUACUUUUCAAAUCCCAGUUAGCAGCAAUCACCUGAGAAUCAGUAAAUCUGUACAUGACAAAUUUAUCUUCUUGACUGUGUGAUAGCUCUUUAGUUUAGAUUAGCAUAUUCUGAGGAGAAUGUUCCAAUUAUAGCUCCUCGAUGUAUUAUCUUAAGUCAAUUUUAGUGAUUUUAGAUUCUUAUUUUUGCAUUUCGUUUGAUGUUGAAGGUUUAUUUGAUAUGUAUGGUCAAUGUCAUUUGUUCUCUUAUGAUACAAAGUGAUUUUCAAUUGUAUAGAUAAUACUGGAUUUCUUUCACCAGAGCAAUGGAUACAUGACAUGUCCAAAUGCAUGUAGAUUGAUUGCUACCACAAUGUUUUGUAGGUUACGAACUUCUAUUACCGUGAGGACUAUAGAGGUUAAAAGGGAUAACAUUGAAUACUGAAUACAUGUGAUAGUCAUUAGAAAUCCUACUUGUGGCAACAUAAGGAACUCUAAGUUAAAUUGUGCCCACUCAUUUUUCUUGUUAUGUAAGAGGAUACUUUAUAUGACACAGGCCCUAAUUCAAUCAUACUCCAAAAAUCUGUAUAUCUGGACCAAUUCCAACUUUACAGUGCAAGUUCCUAUGCUACUAUUUCUGUCCAAUCUUUUAAAUAUGUAUUAAAGGAAUGGUUAAAUUAUAGUCUACUUGGCAUUUUUGCUGCUUUUGAAUGGCAUUUUGACUGUCCAAGAUGUGGUCUUAUAAUACAAUUUGUUUAGCUUAUAUAAAAAGCGAGUUUUCCCUGCUUUAGAUUAGUUAUCUGCUAGUUUACAAGCACAGUUUCACCAAAAGAAAAACAAUUUUGGUAAGAAAAAUAUCAUUAAUAUAAUCUGAAUGAUGAAGGACAAUUCUCUUUAAUCUAAAUGGGAGGGAAUAGGAAAUAAAAAGUUGUAGAUUCCUGUCAUCUUGAAAGGACUAACCAUGUCCGUAACACACCAGGGCAUUCAUGGAAUCUCAUUUGCCAGCAUUUAAAGAGAUUAAUCCCCAGCUGGAGGUGGUAACUGAGCUUAAUCGUGGUCAGCAUCCAUAUUUGAAGGGACUAUACCGUAAGAACAUCUUUACAAUCUUGACAAACCAGUUCUCUGGAAUUAAUGUUUCAUUCUUAGUCUAUGCCUUGAAUUUCACUUCGUUUCAAUCUCUCUACUUUUUGUAAUUUUAGCCCCUUAGACACAGAUCAAAAGGAUAUAUGGUUGCAAAGUUCAGUAAUAGCUUGAAAUAACAUGCAUGUCUUUGUAAAUGCACCUUCAGAGCUUUGUGUCAAUACGACUAAUUAAUGAAAUUGUAUCUGUUGAUCUCAUUGAUUAUGCCUAUCCAGCUGCAAAACUAAUGGAUGCACCUGGACAGAGGUUAUUCUGUACCUUACUACCACAGAAACAUUUUUGUAUACUAAUUUACCCUGAGCUGCUGAUUGUGACACUGGCAGUCAAAGCCCAUUGAGAUUUAAUAGAUGGGAUUGGUUUAGGUUCCUUUGUCUUGUCAUCUCUCAAAAUGUGUUAUAUUGCAUCUACUGCUCCAAGUGGAAGUGUAAUUUAUCUACAAAUAUUUUUAGCAUAGCUAUUUCAUCUCUUAAUUGCUAAAGACAGUCAGAGUCAUAUUAUAUGUGGUAUGUACACUUUGCUUUUUCUGCACUUUAAUAUGUCUUGAAGGUAAGAGCAGUUGCCUUUUACUUGAAACAUAACUUUGUGGCUUCUUGAUACAUAACUUUGUGGCUCGUUGAAAUAUUUUUCUUUUUAAAUUAAUUUGGCAAGUCUCAUUAAGGCAACGGUUAGGUUUCAUGAGUUUCCCUUUUGAGAUGGCUUUUCAUUUGCUUUAUAACCAGGUAACAAGAAUGAGAGGGUUGUAUCAGUUAAAAACAUGACACCAGAAGAUAUACUUCUCUGUGCAACCAGGCUAAGAAAUUCACUUGGAAGAAAGGUGGUCAAGUUGAAGACGAGACACGUUACCAAGCACCCCAGUGUUCAAGGUACAUGGACGACAGACUUGAAGAUAUGAGCCAAAAGAAGUUAACACAGUUUGAUUCGUUCCAAGCAUCUAAAUUUAAUACUAUAAUUCUUGAGAGAUUAGUUAUGUAACCAGCUGGCGCUUUAGUUCACGGUCGCUGCUUGAAACAUUUGGACUAGUUAUGAUGGUGGCAGUACAGUGUAGUUUAUGAGCUUUUCAGACGUUCUCUUGAAUUCUGGACUAGUUUUAUUUUUCUUGCUUCUACGUCGCAAAUUGCCACGGUUACAGGCUGAGUUGUUGCAGGGGUAAGAAACUUCCCCUGGGGAAAAUGCUUUUUAGGUAGAGUUGUGAUCGCAACUUUGUUAUUUAGUCAUGAAAUGAGAGGUUGAUUAUUAAUGAAAAAAAAUUAGGGAUAAUAUCAGAAACCUCAGGGGAGGUUUCUCUUAAUAUCACUUGACACCCCUAAAGUUUUAAAAAUAUCACUUGCCUCCUUUACUUUUGUUAUUUGUGUAACAAAAUUUUUAAAAAUCCUAUAUUACCCUUCUACUUGCUAAAUAAAAGUGCUGCUAGAUCACUUUGUUUACUUCAAGAAAACCAUCAUUUAAAAAAUAAUUUCUAGUAGUACUACUACUUCAUAAUUCUAUAGUCUAUAAAAGUAUAUAUUUGAAAAAUAAAAAAGACAUUUGCAAUGAAAUACAGUUGACUAAUUUAACUCUACACAUUCAAAACCGAUUUCUUAUGAGCUUUAUCUUUUUUUUCAACUUCUUCCCAACUCGUGCCCAAACCUUUAAAUUGUAUUGAUUAUUAUAAAAAAUAACUCAAAAUAAGCAAAUAAAUCAUAUCUCAUUUUAUCACAAUUAUAAAAAGGUAGCAAAAUUCAAUUUAUUAUAAUUCAAAUAGAAAAUUGCACAGUCAUCCAAAAAAUGAGUAAGAGAGAAUAUUGGAGAAAAACGAAAGAGAAGAAAGUGACUUUUGUUUCCUUUUUUUAAAAAUUUUUAGCUCCAUUUAUUUGAUGUGUAAAUUAUGUUUCAAGUGAUGGUUAAUAUAGUCUUUUUGCAAUUACUAGGGGAAGGUAAGUGAUAGUUUUGAAACCUUAGAAAUGCCAGGUGAUAUAGGGAGAAACCUCAAGCGAGGUAUCUUAUAUUAUCCCAAAAAUAACAAAGACCAGCAUAUGCCAAACGUAAUAUCUCGACUUGUUUAUGAUGAAUGUUUCCAUGGUUAUGUUCUUCCUGCUGGGACUAUAGUUGCAGACCUGAUUUGUAGUUUCUUAUCACGUAGGAGUCAUCACCUGGUUUGCCUGAAAAGGAUAUUGCUGUCAAACUUUAGUUGGAAAAUGCACCCUACUAAGAUACUAAGGAGAGAAGUUGCUAUAUUAUUGCUUCCAGCAGACUUGGAUUAGAAAUUUAGAAUUAACAGGGCCCAUCCUCUUACAACAAUAGCAUGACAUAAGUUGAAAUACAAUGGAAUUAUGGAAACAUAUAAGCUUGCUUUGUAUUGAUUUCCUAGUUCAUCAAGAACCAUCAUAUGCUACGUUGCAUGCAGGAAGAAAAGGGUAGAGAUAGGAGAGAAGAAAAAAAUAGACAGAUUGACUUUCAAGCUAAAUGCAGGAUAUUUACUUUAUAAAUUAACCCUCAGUAAACUAAAUGUAGUCAACCAUCCAUUUAAGGAAAAUUGGUUCAGAUUUGAAUAGAAUGCGCCUUCUAUCCAACCAUAAACAACCUAGAUUAGUACAAAAAGAAGAAAAAGCACAUCCUCCAAAUGAGAUUGCACCAAAGCUUUUUUCAGUAAAUGGGCUACUAUGACAGAUCCUGAUAAAAGUGCACCUUAAGAUAUGGUUAAAUACACCAUUUCAUGAACUAAAGGAACCACAUGUUAGUUCGCCAAAAUGCUGAGUAAUCCUGUAGCAUACGAAGAUGAGUAUAAUUAAUCAGAAAAGCAUGCACCUCUCCUAAAUUCCUUCCGAAAGGACUCCACAGCAAAUGCAAUCUUCUCCAACAUACCUAUAUAUCUGUGCUAUUCUCACUACAAAAUUGUUAAUAUGGGGUUAAAACCCCCUAAAA
rnacentral:lncRNA from 1 species